AUAUUUGUUUUUUUAUAUUUUAGGGGUAAUAAAUAAUAUAUUGGUUCCUAAUUUUGCGCAAAUUUGGUAUUAAAAUAAAUUCCCUUUAUAUUUAUUUAUUUAAUUUUUAUAUUUCGCUCCGCGGUUAUUAUUAAUAGCGUGCGGAACAAUUUAACGGCGAAAAUUAUUAUAUAUAUUUCCGAUUAUAAUUUUUUGCAAAUUGCCUUUAACGCAAAUUCGUGUUUUAUAUUUAAUUACGUAACCGUCCUGGUUAAAUUUAUAUAAAAAAACCCAUUUAAAUAAUAUAGGCCUAAUUCUUUUCGGGUAUUUUAUAAAUCGAACCUUUUUAUAAACCUUUUUGGCGUAAAAAUUGCCCAUAUUGUCGCCUAUUAUAUAUAAAAAAUCGUUUUUUAAUAAAUAUUUAAAUAUAGUUUUAUAAUUUUUGGGUGGCGGCGGAAAAUUGGUCGAAUAUUUAAAGCUUUCCGCGUUAUAUAUAUUAAAAUUUGCUUUUUUUUUGGAACCAAUUGGUUAUUUUUAAAAAGAUUGGUGGCAAUUGCGAAAAUAUUAUAUAUUGUAAUUUGCAUAUUUUCGUAUUUUAAAUUAUAAUAUAUAAUUUCCUCAAAAUUUCGCCAAUUUUAUUUAAUAAUUGUUUUAUUUAUAUAUAUAAAAAUUGCAAACAUCCCCUUUAUUAUUAUUAUUUCGGUUGUUUUUUUUUAUUAGCGGACCCUAUUAUUUAUUUGCAAAUUUUGCUAGUUUACCGCGGCGUUUUAUUGCGGUUUAUAAUGGGAUUUUUAUAUUUAUUUGCGUUUUUGGUGGAUAACUUUAUUAUAGUGGUAAAAAUGGUUUUUCCAUUUUUUUAACGGUAUAAUAAUCCAUAUUACGGUAUUAAUUUCCGGAAAUAUUUUUUAUUAAAAUUCCUUUUUCCGGACCUUUAAAAAAUUUAAAUGUGGUUUUUGGGGUUUUAAAACCGAUAUUAAAUUUUCGGUUUUUUCUUAAUAUCCGCUCCGCAAUUAUAAAAACAAUCGUAUAUUUUUCUUUUUCGACGGGUAAUUUAACGAAAUUUCUAACGUUUUGGACGUAUUUAAUUUUUUUAUUUAAUUUAU
rnacentral:sRNA from 1 species